GUCCAAUUUUUGGGAUAAAAUACGGCUGUGGUGUCAUUUCUUCGAUUUGAUACGAAUGAAUGUUUGGUUUGAGGCCAGAAAACGGGUUUCUGUAUCGAAGUUGUACUGAAGACACGUGAUCCUCUGAAAGCUGGAAAACCCCAUCGAUUUUGGGGUUUUUCCACGUGGUUUUUAUUUUGGGGUUUG
rnacentral:lncRNA from 1 species